UUUUGGAAUUUUUUCGGUAGUUGAGGUUACAUGAAUAUUUGGUCUUUUUUCAUUAGGUGGUUCAAAAACAGUAAGCUCUUGGAGAACCAGAAGAAGUACCAGAUUGACUGUGACCUCCAGACUGGGAUGCUCACGCUCACCAUAAAGAGGGCCGGGAAGGUAGACCUGGGGCAUUAUGAGUGUGAGCUGUGGACUAAGGUGGGAAGUUCCAAGUGCAAAGCUGAACUGUGUCGUGCACCCCCCACCCCUGCGGACACUCCAGCAGAGAAGGCUCCAGCAGUCUCUGCCAAAGAACCAGAGCCCGUGUCCGACGCCUGGUCCACCUCCCUGGUGAAGAACUGGCUCGGGAUGGACUUCAGCCCCACUGGUAUCUGCAAAAUGCUCUUCCAGCCCGGCUACCCUGACCCAGCUACCGCGAGCACAGAAGGAGCUGGACCCAAGCAGAAAAAGGACAUUGCGCAGAAAAGGGGUGACACAGCGUCUAGACAGGAAGAGACCGUCGCUGACGAGCAGGAGGAAAUAGAGACAGGUGUGUGUUCUGCACUUUUCUCAAUCU
rnacentral:lncRNA from 1 species